rnacentral:rRNA from 1 species
AACCAGCACCUCAAGUGGUCAGGAUGAUUAUUGGGCCUAAAGCAUCCGUAGCCGGCUUUGUAAGUUUUCGGUUAAAUCCAUGCGCUCAACGUAUGGGCUGCCGGGAAUACUGCAAAGCUAGGGAGUGGGAGAGGUAGACGGUACUCGGUAGGAAGGGGUAAAAUCCUUUGAUCUAUUGAUGACCACCUGUGGCGAAGGCGGUCUACCAGAACACGUCCGACGGUGAGGGAUGAAAGCUGGGGGAGCAAACCGGAUUAGAUACCCGGGUAGUCCCAGCUGUAAACUAUGCAAACUCAGUGAUGCAUUGGCUUGAUGCCAAUGCAGUGCUGCAGGGAAGCCGUUAAGUUUGCCGCCUGGGAAGUACGUACGCAAGUAUGAAACUUAAAGGAAUUGGCGGGGGAGCACCACAAGGGGUGAAGCCUGCGGUUCAAUUGGAGUCAACGCCAGAAAUCUUACCCGGAGAGACAGCAGAAUGAAGGUCAAGCUGAAGACUUUACCAGACAAGCUGAGAGGUGGUGCAUGGCCGUCGCCAGCUCGUGCCGUGAGAUGUCCUGUUAAGUCAGGUAACGAGCGAGAUCCCUGCCUCUAGUUGCCACCACUACUCUCAGGAGUAGUGGGGCGAAUUAGCGGGACCGCCGUAGUUAAUACGGAGGAAGGAAGGGGCCACGGCAGGUCAGUAUGCCCCGAAACUCUGGGGCCACACGCGGGCUGCAAUGGUAACGACAAUGCGUUCCGAAUCCGAAAGGAGGAGGUAAUCCCCAAACGUUACCACAGUUAUGACUGAGGGCUGCAACUCGCCCUCACGAAUAUGGAAUCCCUAGUAACUGCGUGUCACUAUCGCGCGGUGAAUACGUCCCUGCUCCU